GCCUGAGUGGCUUAGUGGUUGAGCAUCUGCUUUUGGCUCAGGUCAUGACCCCGAGGUCCUGGGAUCGAGUCCCACAUCGGGCU
rnacentral:tRNA from 1 species